rnacentral:rRNA from 1 species
UACGUAGGUGGCAAGCGUUGUCCGGAAUUACUGGGUGUAAAGGGCGUGUAGGCGGGUUAUUAAGUCAGAUGUGAAAUUCCAGAGCUCAACUCUGGCGCUGCAUCUGAAACUGAUAAUCUUGAGUGCUGGAGAGGAAAGCGGAAUUCCUAGUGUAGCGGUGAAAUGCGUAGAUAUUAGGAGGAACACCAGUGGCGAAGGCGGCUUUCUGGACAGUAACUGACGCUGAGGCGCGAAAGCGUGGGGAGCAAACAGG